rnacentral:ncRNA from 1 species
CCUUUGGAGUGUUACAUCAAAUGUUAUUAGUAUUAGCAAUAAUAUGAGGGCAGACACGAUGAAUAAGGAA